rnacentral:rRNA from 1 species
AUUGAACGCUGGCGGCAGGCUUAACACAUGCAAGUCGAGCGGGGUGAUGGUGCUUGCACUAUCACUUAGCGGCGGACGGGUGAGUAAUGCUUAGGAAUCUGCCUAUUAGUGGGGGACAACAUCUCGAAAGGGAUGCUAAUACCGCAUACGUCCUACGGGAGAAAGCAGGGGAUCACUUGUGACCUUGCGCUAAUAGAUGAGCCUAAGUCGGAUUAGCUAGUUGGUGGGGUAAAGGCCUACCAAGGCGACGAUCUGUAGCGGGUCUGAGAGGAGGAGCCGCAACACUGGGACUGAGACAGGGCCCGGACUCCUACGGGAGGCAGCAGUGGGGAAUAUUGGACAAUGGGGGGAACCCUGAGCCAGCCAUGCCGCGUGUGUGAAGAAGGCCUUAUGGUUGUAAAGCACUUUAAGCGAGGAGGAGGCUCUUUUGGUUAAUACCCAGAAUGAGUGGACGUUACUCGCAGAAUAAGCACCGGCUAACUCUGUGCCAGCAGCCGCAGUAA